GCCGGGAUAGUCUAGCCUGGUAAGGCGCGAGACUGGAAAUCUCGUGGGGAUUUUCCCCUCCUGGGUUCAAAUCCCAGUCCCGGCG
rnacentral:tRNA from 2 species